rnacentral:rRNA from 1 species
UUUCCGGUUGACCCGCCGGACCUGACUGCUAUCGGAUUGAUACUAAGCCAUGCGAGUCUUUGCAGUAAUGCAAGGCAUACGGCUCAGUAACACGUAGUCAACUUACCCUAUGGACGAGGAUAAUCUCGGGAAACUGAGCAUAAUACUCGAUAGAUCAUAAUGCCUGGAAUGGUUUAUGGUUGAAAUGAUUCGUCGCCAUAGGAUGGGACUGCGGCCUAUCAGCUUGUUGGCGAGGUAAUGGCCCACCAAGGCGAUUACAGGUACGGGCUCUGAGAGGAGAAGCCCGGAGAUGGGUACUGAGACAAGGACCCAGGCCCUAUGGGGCGCAGCAGGCGAGAAAACUUUGCAAUGUGCGAAAGCACGACAAGGUUAAUCCGAGUGAUUUCUGCUAAAGAAAUCUUUUGCAAGUCAUAAAACCACUAGUGAAUAAGGGGUGGGCAAGUUCUGGUGUCAGCCGCCGCGGUAAAACCAGCACCUCAAGUGGUCAGGAGGAUUAUUGGGCCUAAAGCAUCCGUAGCCGGCUCUGUAAGUUUUCGGUUAAAUCCAUGUGCUCAACGCAUGGGCUGCCGAAAAUACUGCAUAGCUAGGGAGUGGGAGAGGUAGACGGUACUCGGUAGGAAGGGGUAAAAUCCUUUGAUCUAUCGAUGACCACCUGUGGCGAG